CCUACGGGGGGCUGCAGUGGGGAAUAUUGGACAAUGGGCGCAAGCCUGAUCCAGCCAUGCCGCGUGAGUGAUGAAGGCCUUCGGGUUGUAAAGCUCUUUUGGCGGGGACGAUGAUGACGGUACCCGCAGAAUAAGCCCCGGCAAACUUCGUGCCAGCAGCCGCGGUAAGACGAAGGGGGCAAGCGUUGUUCGGAAUUACUGGGCGUAAAGGGCGCGUAGGCGGCUCUUUAAGUCAGGCGUGAAAGCCCUGGGCUCAACCUGGGAGUGGCGCUUGA
rnacentral:rRNA from 1 species